rnacentral:rRNA from 1 species
AGUGAGCGCUGGCGGUAGGCCUAACACAUGCCAGUCGAACGGCAGCACAGUAAGAGCUUGCUCUUACGGGUGGCGAGUGGCGGACGGGUGAGGAAUACAUCGGAAUCUACUUUUUCGUGGGGGAUGACGUAGGGAAACUUACGCUAAUACCGCAUACGACCUACGGGUGAAAGCAGGGGAUCUUCGGACCUUGCGCGAUUGAAUGAGCCGAUGUCGGAUUAGCUAGUUGGCGGGGUAAAGGCCCACCAAGGCGACGAUCCGUAGCUGGUCUGAGAGGAUGAUCAGCCACACUGGAACUGAGACACGGUCCAGACUCCUACGGGAGGCAGCAGUGGGGAAUAUUGGACAAUGGGCGCAAGCCUGAUCCAGCCAUACCGCGUGGGUGAAGAAGGCCUUCGGGUUGUAAAGCCCUUUUGUUGGGAAAGAAAAGCAGCAGGUUAAUACCCCGCUGUUCUGACGGUACCCAAAGAAUAAGCACCGGCUAACUUCGUG